GCAAUGGUUCAGAUCUUACUUAUCAGACAGACAUCAAUUUGUCCAUUUAAAUGGGGAAUCAUCAAAUCUAACGCAAGUAAAUUAUGGAUUACCUCAGGGAUCGGUUUUAGGACCCUUGCUAUUCUCCAUAUACAUGCUGCCCCUUGGAAACAUUAUUAGAAAACAUGGAAUUAGCUUCCGCUGUUAUGCAGAUGAUACUCGGCUAUAUAUCUCAUCAAGACCAGAUGAUUCCUUGAUUCCAGCUAUCCAAAUUGGCAGAGUGCAUCGAAGAUAUAAAACAUUGGAUGACUUGUAAUUUCCUUCUUUUAAAUUCUAAUAAAACAGAAAUAUUACUUAUCGGACCAAAGACACGUGAGCAGAAUAUUUCGGAUUAUAACCGGCAAAUUGAAGGCUGCAGUGUUACUCCAACAAAUACAGUUAAAGACCUAGGCAUUAUAUUAGAUAGCAACUUUUAGAAAAGUCAUUUAGAAAUCACAUCUCAAAUGUCACAAAAACAGCCUUCUUCCACCUUAGAAAUGUUGGCAAAUUAUGAAAUAUUCUAUGUGUUGCUGACGCAGAGAAGCUUAUUCGUGCAUUUGUGACCUCAAGACUUGACUACUGUAAUGCACUACUUAGUGGUUGUCCUACAUCAUGAAUAAACAAACUACAGUUAGUUCAGAAUGCAGCUGCCAGAGUUCUAACCAGGUCCAGAAAAUACCAUCACAUAACCCAAAUGUUAUCAAGCCUUCACUGGUUACCCAUUAAGUAUCGUAUUGACUUUAAAGUUCUUUUAAUCACUUAUAAAGCCUUAAACGGUUUAGCCCCUACCUACAUAACAGAGCUUCUACCACACUACAACCCAUCACGCUCUCUUAGAUCUCAAAACUCCAGACUUUUGAUAACACCUAGAAUAACUAAAUCCACCAAAGGGGGCGGAGCUUUCUCAUACGUAGCACCUAAACUCUGGAAUAGGCUUCUCGAUACUAGUCGAGGGUCAGACCCACUCUCCCAAUUUAAAUCUAGAUUAAAGACACAUCUUUUCAGCCAAGCUUUCACUUAAUGCAAAAUAUGCUAAAUAAACCACCGGGAGACUGCAUUUAUUAGAUCUUAUUUACUAGAAUGAUCUUGCUUGUUCUAUAAACACCAUGAACUGUGCUGUGUUUGACCUUUUUUGUGUUUUUCAGUUUCUCUUAUUUUCUCCUGUAAAGCUGCUUUGGGACAAUGCACUUUGUGAAAAGCGCUAUAUAAAUAAAAUUGAAUUGACUUGAAUCAAACUGAAACCUGUAAGCGCCUGAGCGGAAAGUUCUACCAAAGUCACUCUAUGGAAAAGCCUGCCACCUUAUGCUAAAAACUCGUAACGGCCGAUGCUAUCCUUAGCCUUUAUGCUCCAAUUGUAAGUAUUCCAGACCCAUACAUCUCCAUAUCACAAGACAAUUUUUGGUACUACCAGCGAAAACAAACUCAGCAUGGAGAGAGAAACGUAUGCGUUCUGUAGCUGGAAAUACAAUCAUUAUUUUGAGUUUAUUUCUGUCAAAGGCAAGAACAUUGUUGUGCGUUGUCGGUCAUGUGGAGGUAAGCAAAACCCUCUCUCCUGUGAAAAACAACCUGAAGAGGCAGUACAGCACGGUUAAACUUCUGGAGAAAGUGACGUCACCGGGCACGGAGAGCAACGAAUCAACUUCUACUGUCGAGUGCCAGGCUGCUAUUAGCAACAUGUUAUGUUUUGUCAGACUAGUUUUUGCUGCUCUUACGCCGUUAUAUUUGUUAUAUGACGAAGAAAUCAUCAUAAAAAUAUGCAGAAGCACUAGUUAAUAUAUACAAGUUAUAAGAAACUAAGGAGAAACUUUUUACAUUAUGGAGGUUUAGAAAUACUAGUUAACAUAUGAAAUUUUUUUUAAGUUAAAAUGUCACAGUUUUAUUAUUAUUAUUAUCUAUGACAGGCUUUAGUGUGGCAUAAGCAGAAAUAAUGUAUUAAAAUAAUUAAAGACGAGAUAGAGUACAGUAGCAUAUGCACUUCCCAAUAAAGUUUAGUCAUGAGAAGGCUAAAGAGGUUAUUUUGUGUUUUUGAGGGGUGGGGGGUAGUAAUGUAACGAGUAAUGUAACUAAUUACUUUUGAAAUAAAGUAAUCAGACCAGUAACUUGAUUACUUUUAAAAGGAGUAAUCAGUAAUUUAAUUACAUUUCCAGAGUAACACUGAUGAUGACAGAAUUUUCGUUUUUGGGUGAAGUAUCCCUUUAAUAUGUGUUUCCUGGAAAGGUUCUUAUGUAUCUUAGGCUGGUCUGCAGCCCUCUCAGCUAGCUAUACCUCAUCACUUUUGACUGAGUUCACUCCGCUAUAGUGGCCACUGUGGAAAAAGGCUUCUUUACAUUGAAAUCUAAAUAAAUUCUAAAGUUAAAUACACCGUAUAUAGAUGUGUAUUCUUGAUGUCCAUCUAUCACUUUAAAACAGGAAUGAGGAAAGAUCAAUCCUACAGGACCCUUUAAGCAGUAAAAGUACAAAACGUUUAUGCAUGUAACACAGCUCAACCAAUAGGAUUAAACUGAUGUCAUAUAAUAAAAAAUCACUGUAGCAGUUUCUUGUAGCUCAGUUUGUCAUGCAACACAAUCUAGCACUUGAAUGUUGUAUAGUUCAGUAAAGUACAUCAGAGGUGUCCAGUCCUGGUCCUGGAGGGCUGCAGAGUUUAGCUCAUCAAGAUCCUGUCUUGGUUAAGUUAAAGCGAAACUCUGCAGGACAGUGGACUGACUCUGGACACCCCUGAAGUGUGCGAACUUAACUUUUCAUGUUACACUUAAGAAUGUCUGCUAAUAACUGAAAUAAUAAGAAGUGUGUGUGUGUUGGGUCUAGGUCUGCACAGUUUGGAAACGAGAACUGGCAGAGAGCGAAGAAAAUGUAUAUGGAGUCUGUCAUGAGACACAUGAGACAAAUGGAGCAGGUGUGAUGACUGAACUUCAUCAUCUGACGAACACAGUCGCCGGGCAGCGUUACGGUCAGCAGUCAGGACAUGAUGGAGGUCACUGGCAGCACCCAGCAGAUCUCACCCGAAGUGUGUGGUGUGGUCCUUAUUUACUUCAGAUUGUUCUGUAGUGAAGAUGGACUUGAAUUCCUUUGUAUGUAGUUAUAGCUGG